rnacentral:lncRNA from 1 species
AACGAAAUCAGCAAGGGGAGAAGCCAUAGUUAGGGUUUUCAAGCUUCCAAGCUCCAUAGUAAGUGAUCCCAAGCCCCGUUUUUAAUGUUCUUUACGUUUUUGAGAUCCCGGUAGCUUAAUUUAGCUUAUUCUAGCAAUAAUUUAACCUAGGGUUUAUAUUUGGAAAAAUACCCAUAGGUGAAAAGUGUUUAUUUUGAUGUUUUAUGAUAGAAUAUGAAGCUAUAAAUUAUGUUAAACAACUUUUGCUAAGCGAUUUUAAGUGAAAACGAGUAAAACGACAUAAUCGGUAAAAAGACCUAAUGUUCAUAAGUACAUGUUAGAGUGGGAAUUUGAUGUUGCCAUAGGAGGGGAAAAUGUUCAGAAUGUUAUAAAACAUAAGAAUAAGAGAUGAAGUUUAAUUUCCGAGCCUUGGGGCAAAAAUGUAAUUAUGUAAAAGUUUAGGUGAUAAACUAUGAAUGGAAAUCAUAAAAGGGUAAAAUUUUGCAAAGAAACAGAAUUCAGACAGCACUGUGACGUGACUUUGAAAAAUCACCUAGGAUGGUAUAAAAUGAAUUAGAGGAUGAAUGAUAUAUGGAAUUAAAGCUUGUUGAGUCUAUUUUCAUGGAAAAAUAACAGUGUAGAAAAAGGAAAUUUAUAUUUUAAGAUAUGUGAAUUUUAGUAAGAUAGGGUCAGAACUGUUUUUGGAGUCCCCUGUUCUGAGUUUAGAAAAUAAUUAAAAAUUGUACAAAAAUGGUUAUGAGUUGAAAUUUACAUGCUUAGAUUCCUUAAUGAGUCUAUUUUCUGUAGGAACAAGUGGGAAUAGCAUAUGAAAAUUCUAUAAUGAGAAAAAUUAUUUUUAGUAACAAGAGGUCAGAAUAGUCAAAUGGUGAAACAGGGGAGACUUUAACUAAUAAACUGUACUAAUUGGCUGAACCAAAAAUUCUAAAAAUUUUAUGGUAGGAAGAUAUAUGAGUCUAGUUUCAAGGAAAUUUUACGGAGUUAAAUUUUUAGUUCCGUAGCUCAAGUUAUAAUUAAUUUAGUGACUGCUGCGCAAUUGGACAGCUUUGCUGUAAAUAGUGAAAAUAAUUUGCAAAAGUAAAUUUUUAUGCUCCGAAUUAGUAAGAUAAGUUAAGUAAUGCCUCGUGCUCGACUCCGGCAACGGUCUCGGGUAAGGGGUGUUACAUGAUCAAACAACACCUAAGUUGAUUUAAAAAAAAUAUUCAAAAUAAAUUAUCUAUUUACUUUUGCUUUAAAAAACAUCAAACUUUCAAUUUAUUAUAUUUAUUUUUUAUCCAAAACUACUCAAAUAUUAUAAAAUAUGAUAUUAGUAAGAUUAAGAUUAUGAAAUAAGUAAUUUCAAAAAAUUAAAAAUUAUUAUUAUCAAGCAACAAAAUUAUAUUCAAUACUUAUUUUUUUAUUAAAUAACAAGUAAUUUUAUAAUACAAGUUCAAUAUUUAUACAAUUUUGUACUAGAAAUUCUAUAUUUAACCUUUUAGCAUUUAAUUUUUCUAUUCAUCAAUAAACACCUUAUUUUUAUGUAAAAGAUUUAAAAUUCGUUUAUGAUAAAAUUUUAAAAAAAAAAUCAUUUAAGUUUGAAUAAAAGAUAAAAUGAUUAAUUUAUAUUAUUGUUAAGACUUUCCAUGAAAAUAAAAGUGAAUUUACAUUUCUUUUUAAACACACUAACAUUCAUUAUGAAAGAGCAAACUACAGGAGAUCUUGUAACUUAAGGGUUGUGGAUCCAAUCCAACAGACAAGCCUCAUAUAAAGAUCAUUUAGCAACCCACACAACCCAGUGAAAUAACAAAGAACUAUUAUAAUCAUUAGGAACAAAGUAAAGAAUGUUUGCUAAUAUUGUCGAAGAUUCUCAAAUAUGUUCUAAAUCUCGACUCAAGGUGACAAUGCAAAGCUUGUUUUCAGAUUCCAUGAUGACUUGCUGCCAUUGCUGAUCAUGUAGAAGUUUUAAGCCAAGCCUUAAAGCGUAGGCUUUAGCUGCUAAUACUGAGGAAGAAGAUACAUCCAUGAUGGUCACAAGCUAGGGAAGCUAUUCCAACAUUUCAAAAAGUGGAGGAGAGAGUUCCAUCAUAAUUAAUCUUUAAGCUAUCUUCCAGUAGGAUUUAAGUAGAAUCUUGAGAUCGAGGGAGGCUGACCCGUGCUUUUGGGGGAUUUUUUGAAUUAAAAAAAGAAUAACCUUGGAAGGCUCUAUUCCAAACUUGAAAUGAUUCUUUUGAUUUUCUUUCGAAUAUGCUAAUGUCACGGGCCUUCUAAAUUUCUUAGAAAAUGAAGGUCACAAGAUUAGGGCUAAGAAUAGAAUUUGAUGAUGCAAACUUGACUUGAAUACAGAUCCGACAUUGUGUAAAGGAGGGAAAAUCUACAAGAUUCUUCGAGUCAUAAUGAAAAACCGAAACUUACCAUGUGGCAUAGGUAUUUGAGAGACUUCGAUGUCUUCUAACUAAAUUUUCAUUAGAAGCGACCGCAUUGAGACAAGUGCUUAGUUUUUGGGGAGCAAGUUAAAAUUCCAAAUUGAAGCCCAUUCUUGUUUCUUUAAGGUUCAAUUUGAAUAACUAGCAUCAUAAGAGAAGUCUUCAUAAGAAUUUCUAAGAAGAUGAUAACACAAUUUGAUGAUAAAUUGACUAUUUUUUUUAAUGAUGCCAGAUAAGUGAAUCUACACCUCAUGAUUACCUCCACCUCAUGAGUGUUGAAUGUUUCAAUUCACCUUUCCCUUUCAUUAUUCGAGGAGAGAUGUCUAACCAAGUGAAAACCAUGAUUCGAGACUUGGAAGUUAGGAAGUGAUGGGAUCCAUUUAUCCACCCCAACUAUAAAUAAGAUUACGAUUCCCCACAUUCCAUCAGGUGCAACAGCUCGAUUUUUAGUGAUGUCGGAAACAGUGGUUCGAGGCCAUCAAAUUUGGUGAGUAAACUCGUAAAUUUUAUUAUUUAAUAUUUACGAGUCAAAUAUGGUUUUAAAAAUUUUGAAUUAGUAAUUUAUGAAUUAUUAGAUUCGAGUGAUAAAACUCUAGUUCAAGUGGUUUUAGAAAAUGAGGUAUUGGGACAUCGUUUCUAUAAAUCGAGUCGUAAAUAUUUUUAUAAAUAUUUACGGAGUUCCAUUAAAGUAUUAUUAAAGUUUCGUUGGAAAAUUUUAACGUUUCGAUAGUUAAUUAAUAAAAAAGGACUAAACUGAAAAAGGUGCAUAACUUGCUAAUUAUAAUACUAAAGUGACUAAAUGGCUUGACUAAUAAAUAAGGAGGGAAUUAAGUGAUAAAUAUGCCUAAAUCAAUGGAUGAGGCAGCAUAUGAAUAAAAUAAAAUAAAAUAAAAAGAAACAAUGGCAAAAUUGUAAUUAUGUUGAAAUUAAUAAGACAAAUUGAAAUUUAAAAGCAUUCUAGGCUUUUCUUCUCCAGUUUUCGGUUUAAAACAGAGAAGGGAGAGAGCUCAAGCUGGUUUUCAUAUUUUUUUGUAGGUAAGUUCAAUUUAGCCCCAUUUUCAAUAAUUUUUAUGUUUUUGAGAUUGUUACAAUUAGGUUCAACUAAAUCUUACUCUAGUUUUUUAUUUUGUUAAAUAUUUUGAAUGUUGCCAUUGAUGAAUCUAUAUGAUUUUAGUUAUUAAAUGAUAAAUUUUAGAUGUUGGUUGAUAUUUAAAGGUAUUUUAUUAAGUAAUUUUGAUGAAUUUUUUAUUAGGGACUAAUUUGUUGAAAUAGUAAAAAUACAAGGAUUUGUUGUGAAAUUAUUGAAAAUUUUGGCUGUAUUGAAUGCCAUGAAUAUUCUGCUAGCAUGAUUUUGCAUUAAAAAUGGUUAAUUUGCAUGAUUUGGGCUCAUGGACUAAAUUGAAUAAAAGUAAAGCUUUAGGGGUAAUUUUGUAAAAAUGUUAAAAAUGACCAAAUUGCAUGAAAUGAAUUGUUUUAUUAUUUAAAUUAAUAAAUUGAAUGAAAUAUUAAUUUAGAUCAAGAUCGGGUGGAAAAUCGAGGGAAAUAGAAAAUUACCAAAAUGCCUCUGUAUCUUAGUAUUUAUGCAAUUUAGCCUGGUAAGUUCGUAUGAACUGUAUUCUGUAUAAUUUUGAUUAAAAUGAAUUUUAUUUGAUGAUGGAUAUUAUAUAUGUGUGUGUUCUAUUGUUGGAAUUAAAUUGUUAUUGAAAAUAUACUAUCAAAUUUAAUACUCAGUUUGGAUUGAACGCGGGAUUGAGUUAAAUCGUUCUGUCGCAAAUGAUGAAUUGAGGAAUAAGACCAUAACUAGGUUAUGGCACUAUGAACGUAAGACCAUGGUUGGACCAUGGCAGUGUUUAUAUGUAAGACCGUAGCUGGGCUAUGGCAUUCUGAUGAUAAGACCAUAACUGGGUUAUGGCACUAUAACCGUAAGACCAUGGUUGGACCAUGGCAAUAUUUAUAUGUAAGACCAUAGCCGGGCUAUGACAUUCUGAUGAUAAGACCAUAACUGGGUUAUGGCACUACGAAUGUAAAUGAUGAAUUGACGAAAAAAAUGUAAAGGAUGAAUUGAAGGAAAAUUACCCAAGUAAACCGAGGUUCAGCAUUUGUUGCAAACUUUCGUGUUUACUUUCUGUUUAGCUCUCAUGAGCUUCUGUUUAGCCUUCGGGCUUCUAAAAAUGAUGUACUCAAAUCUGUAAGUCGUUCUUCGAAAGGUAAAAUGUCGAGAGUUGUCUUAAAUGAUAUAUAUUUGUAUAUGAAGAAAUGGUAAGAGAAUGAUAUGUAUUAUGAUAUGUAUUUAUAUCAAUAUCUUGAUAUGUUGAUAUAUGGAAAUUAUGUAAGUUGAGACAAGUAAUAAACUCAAGUGUAAUAUGUUGAGAUAGUAAGGUUAUUGAUGUUGAAAUUAUAUGAAAUAUGUUCAAGUACGCUAACAAGUGUUCUUGUUUGAUGCUUAGGGAAAUGCCAAGCUAUUGGUUGAACGGUAAUAUGCUUAAUUAUAAAAUGCAUUGAAAUGGUAAGUGCUCAAAUGAAAAUAUGUUUGUGUUCAUGAAAGAGUGGUAAGUUUAAAGUUAUGUAAUUUCUUAUGAAAGACUUAUUAUAUGAUUAAUUCGAAAAAGGCUAUGUUUAAAUGCAUUAGCUUGUGGCUAUGGUUGAAUGAUAUGUUUAUGAUUGGUGUGUUAUGCAUAUGGAAUGGGUGUAGAAAAUAAAGAAAUGCAAGUGAAAAUAAAGAAAUUUAGAAGAGUAUAAAGUUGUUUAAAAUCCUAUUAUGCUAGGGAUAAUAUGUACAAGUGAUGAUGUGGAUUUAUUUACCUUGUGAGUUGAUGAAUAUAGCCACAUGAGUAUUGUGGUAUCAAUAUUAAAUUAUUCUUGAUAUUUAUAAAUUUCAUAUUUGAAAUGAAUGGACCUGAUUAAAUUUUAUACGAGCUUACUAAGCAUUUAUUGCUUACGUAUUUGUUUUUCUUUACUUUUCAGAUUAUCGGAAGCUCAAUUGGGUUGGAAGCUUGUCGGAGAUAUAUCACACUAUCCAUUGGUUCUAUUGGUAUUUUCGAAUGUUUUGAUUUUGAUUAUAAUGGCAUGUAUAGGUAUUUUGUUUAAUGAUGGUUUAUAUGUAGUGUGUUGAGUUUAGCCACUUAUUUUGGCUUGUUUUGAAUGUCCAAUUAUGGCUUGUUGAUAUAUGUAAUGUUGAUUGUAGAUAGACACAAAAUUGGUGAGAAAUAUGGCUUGUAAAAUGGUCUAUUUUUGUUCACACGGGCAGAGACACGGGCAUGUGUCCCCUACUUCUAAGAAAACUUUUGAAAUUUUGGGAAAAAUUCCCUGAAUACUCGG